rnacentral:tRNA from 1 species
UGGGGAGUAGUGAAAUGGCAUCACCGCAGACUUUGGAUCUGCUUUUCCAGGUUCGAAUCCUGGCUCCCCAGCCA